GACCUAUCCCUGUUUGCAGCAGUCUGCUGAGAAACCUGAGCACUGUACUUUGAAACAACUUAAUUUUUCAAACCCUUCUUCAUCACACUGACAUCUCCCCCCUGACCUGUCGUCCUGGCUCUACCUUGCCGUAGCAUGUGUCGUCAGUCUCUAGCUGUGAGAUCAGUCCCUUCUUCCGAAUGGAACGCUGAGCUACUAGUUGUUUUUUGUGGAUGUUGGGUAUCAAAAAUUCCAUUCCGUAUUCCAAUUCCGGUAGGCUUGGUCCAGCCUAGGACCCUUACUGGAUACGAACUUGCGACUCCCACUCCAGAGAAUCUGCAGAAUGAAGGCAAAGAUGCACCACUGUUACGUCUCCACUGCAUUCCCAGUGGUUCGAUCACAACAACAGCUGGAGGACAAAUAUACAAACAAGUAUCUGCUGCCAAAACUGAGCUAGAUUUUUCUUCUUUGCUCCAUCUAGUUUGAUUUUUUUUUCUUUUAUAAGUACAGGCGUCACAGUAUACUAGAUGGACGUAGCCUCUGGGUCUGAAAAGUCAAGCCAGCAGACUCCUGGUUUCAAAAACACUUGUAAUAGUAAAACAGAAAACCAGACCUCCUCACUCCUGUGACCUCUGUAACCAAGUUUCUGAUGAGUUUAUGGCCUCAGUCACUAGUUUCAGGUCAUAGCGAAUAAAAGAUGAGAUCAUCUGUAUAUGAUGUCCAUCGUUAGAGUCAGAAAAGAGUCGUUAUUCAGGGUGUGUUCAUCAGCUAAUAAUAGACAGUCAGAGCCACCUCUCGCUAGUAACGUGGUUUCCAAACACAAAGGUGGUCACAGUGUAACUGCUCCAUUUUGGACCAAUAGGUCAUGGCGACUGUGUCCAUCUGUCUGCUGUACAUUGGUUGAUUAGCAGACAUUCUAUUUUGUCACAAUUCUUUCAUGUUGGUUACAAUGUAUACAAAAUGAAGCUUGACCAACAGAGAAUAAAAAAGAAUAGCUGUAAAAAAAAUAACCCACAAACACUCAGGAUGUCAAUUGUGGUAUUUUUUUUUAUUAUGAGAGAAAUACACCUUUACAUUGUUUAUCACCUUGUUGGUGAGAAUAAAACAUAAAUAAAACAUUCUUACAAAAUGCUUCAAUAAAUCACAAGUCAAUUAUUUUUUACAAGUAAUUUGUAUUAUACAUAAAUCAUAUUUACACAUUUGCCCUUCUUUUUUUGUUUUUUUUACAUUGCUGAGAACGAAACAACUGUGUACCAGUUGAAUAGUACAAACAUUUCCUUCCUUUCAAAGCAGAGGUAUAAAAGCUCUCCUCUCUCCUGAGAAGACGCUGGGUUCUACUCUAGUGCAUUUUAUCAUUAAGAUUUAAGGCUACGCAGGGUUCACCUAAUGGACACACUCGUCUCUCGGACAGGCUUAUCAUCAUCACUGGGUGAGGGAGUUCAUUUUCCUGACUUGUGUCUGCUGAUUGUCCCUUACAGAGGUCUGUGGUUCUGCCCAGUCGCUUCCUCCAACCUUUUUAUUCCCCCCACAUUAAAGCUGCUGCUGACUGGUUUCACCGAAUAACCAAUUACAAUCUCUGACAA